UACGAACCGUGCGAACGUUAUUCGGAAUCACUGGGCUUAAAGCGCGUGUAGGCGGAUGGGGACGUCGGCCACUGAAAGCCCCCGGCUCAACCGGGGAAGGGGUGCCGAAACGGCCCGUCUGGAGGGGCGUAGGGGGACCUGGAACUUCCGGUGGAGCGGUGAAAUGCGUUGAGAUCGGAAGGAACGCCCGUGGCGAAAGCGAGGUCCUGGACGUCAUCUGACGCUGAGACGCGAAAGCUAGGGGAGCGAACGGG
rnacentral:rRNA from 1 species